rnacentral:lncRNA from 10 species
UUAGCUCAGGGAUUGUAAACGCACCAAUCAGCGCCCUGUCAAAACAGACCACUCGGCUCUCUGUAAAAUGGACCAAUCAGCAGGAUGUGGGUGGGGCCAGAUAAGAGAAUAAAAGCAGGCUGCCCGAGCCAGCCGUGGCAACCUGCUGGGGUCCCCUUCCAUACUGUGGAAGCUUUGUUCGUUUGCUCUUUGCAAUACAUUUUUUGCUUCUGCUCACUCUUUGGGUCCACACUGCCUUUAUGAGCUGUAAAACUCACUGGGAAGAUCUGCAGCUUCACUCCUGAGCCAGCGAGACCAGGAACCCACGGGGAGAAAUGAACAACUCCAGGCGCCCCACCUUAAGAGUUGUUAACACUCACCGUGAAGGUCCGCAGCUUCACUCCUGAGCCAGCGAGACAACGAACCCCAUUAGAAAAAAGAAACUCCGAACACAUCCGAACAUCAGAAGGAACAAACUCCGGACACACCGCCUUUAAGAACUGCAACACUCACCGCGAGGAUCCACGGCUUCGUUCCUUGAAGUCAGUGAGACCAAGAACCCACCAAUUCCGGACACAAUUCUGUAUGGUCUAGUUAUAUGAAAUUCAAAACUGGGCCAAAGUGAUCUAUGGUCAGGGGACUGGUUACCUUUCUGGAGUGUGGUGACUGGAAGGUUGCCAGGAGGAGAGACUCCGGGGCGGGCGGGGAGAUGGGGGCAAUAAUGUCUGUUUCUUGAGCUGAGUGUUGGCUUUGCAGGUGCAUUCUCUUCUUUUUUUUUUUUUUUUUUUGAGACAGAGUCUCGCUCUGUCACCCAGGCUGGAGUGCAGUGGCGUGAUCUCAGCUCAACUGCAACCUCCGCCUCUCAGGUUCAAGCGAUUCUCCUGCCUCAGCCUCCUGAGUAGCUGGGAUUACAGGCACGUGCCAUCACAUCUGGCUGAUUUUUGUAUUUUUAGUAGAGACAAGGUUUUACCUUGUUGUUCAGGCUGGUGUCAAACUCCUGACCUCAUGUUCCACCUGCCUCAGUGUCCCAAAGUCCUGGGAUUACAGGCGUGAGCCACGGUUCCCAGCCAGCAGGUGCAUUCUCUUUGUGAAAAUUCAUCCAGCUGUUGCUGGGCGUAGUGGUUCACACCUGUAAUCCCAGUACUUUGGAAGGCUGAGGCAGGCAGAUCACUUGAGGUCAGGAGUUCGAGACCAGCCUGGCCAACAUGGUGAAACCCCGUCUCUACUAAGAAUACAAAAAUUAGCUGGUCGUGGUGGUGGGUGCCUGUAAUCCCAGCCACUUGGGAGGCUGAGACAGGAGACUCGCUUAAACUCAGGAGGCAGAGGUUGCAGUGAGCUGAGAUCGUGCCACUGCACUCCAGCCUGAGCAAGAGUGAGACUGAGACUCCAUCUCAAAAAAAAAGAAAAUAAAAAGAAAAUUUAUCCAGCUGUAACUUAAGAUGCAUGUGUUUUUCUGUACGUAGCUUCUGCUUCAAUUUUUGUAAAAAAAGUUAACUAUUUCUCAUAAACAUCUGUGCAUAUGUAGACACUAAAAUUCUGCAAUCACAUUAUCAGCUAUAAGCCAAGAAUCCAGAUGAUGUGGAAUAUGUUUAUAUUAAUUUUUUUUUGAGAUGGAGUUUUGCUCUGUUGUCUAGGCUGGAGUGCAG